UGCCUCAGUUAACUUCUCUUUUCUUGGUAC
rnacentral:piRNA from 1 species